GGCGGCAUGCUUACCAUGCAAGUCGAAGGCAGCACGGGAGCAAUCCUGGUGGCGAGUGGCGAAGGGUGAGUAAUAUAUCGGAACGUGCCCAGUCGUGGGGAUACUUACGAAAGCUACCUUAUACGCAUACAUCUAUGGAUGAAAGCGGGGGAUCGCAAGACCUCCGCGAUUGGAGCGGCCGAUAUCAGAUUAGGUAGUUGGUGAGGUAAAGGCUCACCAAGCCGACGAUCUGUAGCUGGUCUGAGAAGACGACCAGCCACACUGGGACUGAGACACGGCCCAGACUCCUACGGGAGGCAGCAGUGGGGAAUUUUGGACAAUGGGCGCAACCCUGAUUCAGCAAUGCCGCGU
rnacentral:rRNA from 1 species